GUCCACGCCCUAAACGAUGCGAACUGGACGUUGGGAGCAACUAGGCUCUCAGUGUCGAAGCUAACGCGUUAAGUUCGCCGCCUGGGGAGUACGGUCGCAAGACUGAAACUCAAAGGAAUUGACGGGGGCCCGCACAAGCGGUGGAGUAUGUGGUUUAAUUCGAUGCAACGCGCAGAACCUUACCUGGUCUUGACAUCCACGGAAUCUUGCAGAGAUGCGGGAGUGCCUUCGGGAACCGUGAGACAGGUGCUGCAUGGCUGUCGU
rnacentral:rRNA from 1 species